CUCUCAUUUCUCUCUUCUUUCUCUCACUUUUUUCUAUCUAAAGUUUAUUAUCUUCUUUAUUUUCUAAUCUCAAUUUUAUAUUCAUGUCAUUUUGCAGGAAAGUUAUGUUUUUUUGUUAAGAACAACAACAUAGCAACACAGGUAUUUUCUUCUUGAUCAAACUAAUUUUUUCUUUGUUGAUUUACUAUUUGCAUGUUUUAUUAUCUUCAUAUAAUCUUCAAUCACUUUCAAUGUUUGCUUCAGAUGCAUCAUCUUCAUCUAAUCGCAAGCGAAAAGUUUAAAGCUCACCAUAACAAGUGGAUCUGGAUAAAUAAGUGAUGGAAGUGGAGAAGAAGUUGAGCACUUUGGUGCCAAGAUCUUGAAAUAAAAAGGUCCAAAAAGAGCUUACAUGAUCACUGUUACAGAUCUGACCAUAAAUUCCAUGGAUGAGCUUGAAGAUGACCAAAAGUGAUAUAUUUUUCGGCGGAAGUCUGACAUCAACUUCACAAUUUUGAAAAACUAAACACAUGUAAAGAGGAAAAAAGAAAGAUGAGAGGAAGAUAUUGAUAGUAUUAGUGUAGCCAUUUGAGACACCAAAGAUACGGCUAGGGUUUGGAUUGUGGAUGCAAAGUUAACAAAAAUUAUAGAAAGUGAAAAUUGAGAAGUUAGAGAAAGAGAAUUAAUUGAAAAGGAAAGAGACAAUGAAAUCAUACGGAUUUCAAUGUGAUAACUCAUGGACUUCAAACCAAAAUUAAAUUAAGUUAAUUUUAAUUUUUUAAUAAAUAUAUAUAUGGGUGGUGGUGGUGUGGGUUACGGAUUCCAUACCUAAAGAGUAGAAAAUCUUAAACAAAAUUUAUAAUUUUCUAUGCAUGUGGGCCAUCACUUUUGAAGUUUAAAUUUACUUUGGUUAUAAAAAAAAUUAAAUUUACUUUU